AUACGUAGGGGGCAAGCGUUGUCCGGAUUUAUUGGGCGUAAAGAGCGUGUAGGCGGCCAAAUAGGUCAGCUGUGAAAACUCGAGGCUCAACCUCGAGAUGUCGGCUGAAACCAUCUGGCUAGAGUCCGGAAGAGGAGAAUGGAAUUCCCGGUGUAGCGGUGAAAUGCGCAGAUAUCGGGAAGAACACCCGUGGCGAAGGCGGUUCUCUGGGACGGUACUGACGCUGAGACGCGAAAGCGUGGGGAGCGAACAGGAUUAGAUACCCUGGUAGUCCACGCCGUAAACGAUGGGAACUAGGUGUGGGCGGUGUCGACUCCGUCCGUGCCGAAGCUAACGCAUUAAGUUCCCCGCCUGGGGAGUACGGCCGCAAGGCUAAA
rnacentral:rRNA from 1 species